GAACUCAAAGGAGACUGCCAGUGAUAAACUGGAGGAAGGUGGGGAUGACGUCAAGUCAUCAUGGCCCUUACGACCAGGGCUACACACGUGCUACAAUGGCGCAUACAAAGAGAAGCGACCUCGCGAGAGCAAGCGGACCUCAUAAAGUGCGUCGUAGUCCGGAUUGGAGUCUGCAACUCGACUCCAUGAAGUCGGAAUCGCUAGUAAUCGUGGAUCAGAAUGCCACGGUGAAUACGUUCCCGGGCCUUGUACACACCGCCCGUCACACCAUGGGAGUGGGUUGCAAAAGAAGUAGGUAGCUUAACCUUCGGGAGGGCGCUUACCACUUUGUGAUUCAUGACUGGGGUGAAGUCGUAACAAGGUAACCGUAGGGGAACCUGCGGUUGGAUCACCUCCUUACCUGAAAGAA
rnacentral:rRNA from 2 species